AUGUCCGGACGGGAUAACCGCUGACAGCAUCUAAGCGGGAAGCCCGCCCCAAGAUGAGCCGUCCCACCCCACACGGGGGUAAGGCCCCGGGGAGAUGACCCGGUAGCGAGGCGGCCGGUGGACAGCGGGUAACCGACUGGAGCCAAGCCGUCCUCAUGGCCGAGGCCAGUCCUCAA
rnacentral:rRNA from 1 species